rnacentral:rRNA from 1 species
UAAUGUCUGGGAAACUGCCUGAUGGAGGGGGAUAACUACUGGAAACGGUAGCUAAUACCGCAUAACGUCGCAAGCACAAAGAGGGGGACCUUAGGGCCUCUUGCCAUCGGAUGUGCCCAGAUGGGAUUAGCUAGUAGGUGGGGUAACGGCUCACCUAGGCGACGAUCCCUAGCUGGUCUGAGAGGAUGACCAGCAACACUGGAACUGAGACACGGUCCAGACUCCUACGGGAGGCAGCAGUGGGGAAUAUUGCACAAUGGGCGCAAGCCUGAUGCAGCCAUGCNGCGUGUAUGAAGAAGGCCUUCGGGUUGUAAAGUACUUUCAGCGGGGAGGAAGGGAGUAAAGUUAAUACCUUUGCUCAUUGACGUUACCCGCAGAAGAAGCACCGGCUAACUCCGUGCCAGCAGCCGCGGUAAUACGGAGUUCCCAAAGGAACCUCUCCAUCUCUGGAAAGUUCUCUGCAUGUCAAGGCCUGGUAAGGUUCUUCGCGAAAUCCCCGGGCUCAACCUGGGAACUGCAUCUGAUACUGGCAAGCUUGAGUCUCGUAGAGGGGGGUAGAAUUCCAGGUGUAGCGGUGAAAUGCGUAGAGAUCUGGAGGAAUACCGGUGGCGAAGGCGGCCCCCUGGACGAAGACUGACGCUCAGGCGUGGACGCGUGGGGAGCAAACAGGAUUAGAUACCCUGGUAGUCCACGCCGUAAACGAUGUCGACUUGGAGGUUGUGCCCUUGAGGUGUUCCUUCCUAAGCUAACGCGUUAAGUCGACCGCCUGGGGAGUACGGCCGCAAGGUUAAAACUCAAAUGAAUUGACGGGGGCCCGUUCCCAGGUUGAAGCAUGUGGUUUAAUUCGAUGCAACGCGAAGAACCUUACCUGGUCUUGACAUCCACGGUAAUUCCGAUUAACGAGAAUGUGCCUUCGGGAACCGUGAGACAGGUGCUGCAUGGCUGCCGGUGGCUUAUUUUCUGAAAUGUUGGGUUAAGUCCCGCAACGAGCGCAACCCUUAUCCUUUGUUGCCCCCUUUCCUUCCCGAACUUAAAGGUGCUUGCCAGUGAUAAACUGAAGGACCUUUUUCAUGACGUCAAGUCAUCAUGGCCCUUACGACCAGGGCUACACACGUGCUACAAUGGCGUCCCGGAGGAGAAGCGACCUCGCGAGAGCAAGCGNACCUCAUAAAGUGCGUCGUAGUCCGGAUUGGAGUCUGCAACUCGACUCCAUGAAGUCGGAAUCGCUAGUAAUCGUGGAUCAGAAUGCCACGGUGAAUACGUUCCCGGGCCUUGUACACACCGCCCGUCACACCAUGGGAGUGGGUUGCAAAAGAAGUAGGUAGCUUAACCUUCGGGAGGGCGCCUAGCAUUACUCACCCGUCCGCCGC